AAUCUCAAGGAAGCACUCGGGGCACCAGGAUUCCCAGCACUUAGCUGGUGGGCAAAGGGGCUCAUCCCCCUCCCCACAUCCCACCUUCCCUCCUCCCAGUCUUCAGGAGUGCGGAGCUCCUGCCGGGAUCCAAGAGCAGGCUCUUGGUAGUCGAAGAAGGAUAUAACCUCCAGACCUGGAAUUUUAAGACGCAAGAACCAGCCAGCAAAUGUGGCAGCCGAGCAUGCGAGGGACCGUGAUGGCUGCUGAAAAAGGAACUGGCUUUUUAUUUGGAAGCUAUGAAACUUGAGGUUCUACUGAAAAGGAGAAGAGGCCGCUGGAGAUUAGGAAGCCAUGAAAAACCUCUCACUGGCAUGGAGCACAGCAAGCAGGUUAGGCUGGCUGGCCAUUGAUCUCCAUCCCAUCUAUCUUUGCCUCCUCGGCACUGGGAUUGCGUACACACCCAAGAGUCUUGGCAUGUUUCUUUAUCAUCUCCGUUUCAAGUUUUAUUUUUAUAAAAGUAAGAUAUUGAAUUUCAUUAGUGUUUAAUCAAGGAAGUUGUAAAGGUUUAAAUAUAUUUUCUGUUUUUAUUCAUCUCCUAGUGCGUUUCAAGUAGAACUUUCUAAGAUUUGAGGGCCAACUGUCAGCUUCACAUGUUUUAAACUGACAUGCAUUUGUCCAGAUUUACAAAGUUCAGCAUAGCAAGUUAAUGCAUGAUAUGUAAUAAGUGAUGAUCCAAUUGAGGUAUUUAGCAUUUCAAUUUCUUCAUUUAUCACUCUAUGCUCUGGGAAGCAUCAAAGUCUUUUAGUUAUUUUGAAGUAUCUCAUGGAUGUUACAGGCAACAAUUAGGUCAUUUCAGCAUGAACCGUAGGGGGAAAAUCCUCCUGUUUAUUGACUAUUGGUAUAUUUCUGUGGGUUGAUGCCUAUUACAUAACCUCUUUGUGGCCACACACCCCUGUCCUUAAUGACCUGUAGUCUAUUCUAUUUUAUGAAGUCAAUUGUUUUAAACCUCCACGAUCAUUG
rnacentral:lncRNA from 1 species